rnacentral:lncRNA from 1 species
GUGAGAUCAUUGACAAGGAGGUUAAGGGAACAUAAAAAGGAUAUUGAAAGUGCUAAUUCCUCAACAGCAUUAGCACAAAGAAUGCUUGUUUCUGAUUUGACUGUAAAAUGGGAUGAUGCUAGGCUUUUAUUAAAGGAAGAAGACCCCAAAAAGAGAAGGGUAGCUGAGACGAUCAUGAUUUAUAAUAAGAGGUGGACGGGGAGAAAACCUAUUAAUAAAACAGAUCCAACGGCCAUCAGUAAUGCGUGGAAAUCCUGUGACAAGUCAAAAAAUUAUCGUGCUUAAGAUCAUUGCGCUCUUUUAUUUAGGUCAUUUUUUAGAAGUAUGCC